UAUGUUUAGCCUGUGACAGGGCUCAGCCAGCAUAAUGGAUUUUCAGGCUCAAAUUUUCAUCUUCCUUCUGCUCAGUGUCACAGAAUCCAAUAGAGAAAUUGUGCUGACCCAGUCUCCAACAUCCAUGGCUGUUUCCCAAGGAGAAAGAGUCACCAUCUCCUGCACGGCCAGCUCGAGUGUAAGCACCAGCCACUUGCACUGGUACCAACAGAAGCCAGGAUCCCCUCCAAGGCUUCUUAUUUAUAGCACAUCAAGUCUGGCUUCUGGAGUCCCAGCCAGGUUCAGUGGCAGCGGUUCUGGGACCUCUUACACUCUCACAAUCAGCAGCAUGGAGGCUGAUGAUGCUGCAAGCUAUUACUGUCAGCAGUGGAGUGGCUUUCCACCCACAGUGUUACAGACUGGAACAAAAAGCUUCUUCCUCACGGCCCAUCUGCUUCCCCAUCUCAGAUUGUGAUGGUCAUCGUCCCUGCUUCUUG